UGUGCCAGCAGCCGCGGUAAUACGUAGGGUGCGAGCGUUGUCCGGAAUUAUUGGGCGUAACGAGCUUGUAGGCGGUUUGUCGCGUCUGCUGUGAAAGCCCGGGGCUUAACCCCGGGUCUGCAGUGGGUACGGGCAGGCUAGAGUGUGGUAGGGGAGACUGGAAUUCCUGGUGUAGCGGUGGAAUGCGCAGAUAUCAGGAGGAACACCGAUGGCGAAGGCAGGUCUCUGGGCCACUACUGACGCUGAGAAGCGAAAG
rnacentral:rRNA from 1 species